AGGAUCUCAAGAGACAGAAGAUGGUGGCAAAGCUCAAGAAGGCUGCCCAGAAGGACCUGUUGGGCAUGCUUGACGUGGAGAAGAGUGGCACGGUCGAGGAAGUGCACGGAUCGCAUCCUCAGCUUCCUGCUCAAGCCCUUCGAUAACAAGAAGCCCCUCCCAGCUGCCAAGAAAGGAAAGAGAAAGUCCUCAACUCCUGGUUCUGCUGGCAAGGGCCAGGCCAAAAAACGAAAGACUGCAACUCCCAAGGCAGAGAAGAAGGG